rnacentral:miRNA from 1 species
CAAUAGGUCUUUAAUCAUUG